rnacentral:misc_RNA from 1 species
AAGUCGUAACAAGGUUUCCGUAGGUGAACCUGCGGAAGGAUCAUUAACAAAACACCUUGGUAAGAUGAUAGUUGCUCUUUAUUGUUGUAACUAUUGUUGAUGCCAAAAACCUUUGUGAAUAGGGUAUGUCGAAAGGCAUGCUUAGAAGGGAACUGAGGCGGAUUUUGAUUUAUUACGGCAUCGCUGUUGUAAUAAAUCAAUAUCAAAAAUUUUGUAGUCUAAUUAUUGUUGUCGAAAGACAUUCAAAUUUAAUACAACUUUUAACAAUGGAUCUCUUGGCUCUU